rnacentral:rRNA from 1 species
UACAGAGGUCUCAAGCGUUGUUCGGAUUCAUUGGGCGUAAAGGGUGCGUAGGCGGCGCGGUAAGUCGGGUGUGAAAUCUUGGAGCUUAACUCCGAAACUGCAUUCGAUACUGCCGUGCUUGAGGACUGGAGAGGAGUACGUGGAAUUUACGGUGUAGCGGUGAAAUGCGUAGAUAUUGGGAAGAACGACCGGUGGCGAAGGCGGCGCUCUGGACCGAGACGUGACGCUGAGGCGGCGAAAAGCGUGGGGAGCAAACAGG